CUUGGGGAUUUCUCAAGGAUUGCAGUGAUCGCUUUACGGCUCUCACUCCAAACCCUGUGAAUGCCCUGCUAAAGCUUGAUGAAGAGAGGGUUAUUGCUGGAACUGAAAAUGGUCUU